AAGUCGUAACAAGGUUUCCUUCUGUGGUGACACUUACAGAAGCCUUUGCGGGCCCUCAGGGGCCGCUGCAGCGACUCUAAACAACGCAGCCCUGCGCAAGUCAGCCCAGCUGGCAACAUAAUCGAAUUGCGGGGACGUCUUAAAGCCCGUGGCACCCCCUUAGCGAGGAAACUCGCUAGGUAUGGUAAGAGCCCACGGGAUACUUUCAGGUUUGCCUGAUCACUAUAGACAAUCCGCAGCGAAGACCCUAAGGGCCCUUGGGCCUAGGGGUAACGUCCACAGACUAAGUGGUUAUGGGCUGCGCCUUAAGGCGUGGUUUAAGAUAUAGUCGGUCCCUUAGGGAAACCUAGGGGGGUAGUCACGUUCCGUAGGUGAACCUGCGGAAGGAUCAUUACAGAGUUCAUGCCCUUACGGGUAGAUCUCCCACCCUUGAAUAUUAUACCUUUGUUGCUUUGGCGGGCCGCUUCGGCUACCGGCUUCGGCUGGUGAGUGCCCGCCAGAGGACCCUAAACCCUGAAUUACAGUGUCGUCUGAGUACUAUAUAAUAGUUAAAACUUUCAACAACGGAUCUCUUGGNUCUGGCAUCGAUGAAGAACGCAGCGAAAUGCGAUAAGUAAUGUGAAUUGCAGAAUUCAGUGAAUCAUCGAAUCUUUGAACGCACAUUGCGCCCCCUGGUAUUCCGGGGGGCAUGCCUGUUCGAGCGUCAUUAUAACCCUCAAGCCUAGCUUGUGUUGGGCCUGUCGUCAGACAGCCCUUAAAAUCAGUGCGGUGCUGCAGCUCUACGCGUAGUAAUUCUUCUCGCGAUGGAGUCCUGUAGGAUGCUUGCCAACAACCCCUAAUUUUCUAUGGUUGACCUCGGAUCAGGUAGGGAUACCCGCUGAACUUAAGCAUAUCAAUAAGCGGAGGAAAAGAAACCAACAGGGAUUGCCUCAGUAACGGCGAGUGAAGCGGCAACAGCUCAAAUUUGAAAUCUGGCUCUUUUAGGGUCCGAGUUGUAAUUUGUAGAAGAUGCUUCGGGUGUGGCUCCAGUCUAAGUUCCUUGGAACAGGACGUCAUAGAGGGUGAGAAUCCCGUAUGUGAUUGGUGGCCUUCGCCCAUGUGAAGCUCUUUCGACGAGUCGAGUUGUUUGGGAAUGCAGCUCAAAAUGGGUGGUAAAUUUCAUCUAAAGCUAAAUAUUGGCCAGAGACCGAUAGCGCACAAGUAGAGUGAUCGAAAGAUGAAAAGCACUUUGGAAAGAGAGUUAAACAGUACGUGAAAUUGUUGAAAGGGAAGCGCUUGCAACCAGACUUGCGCGUGGGUGAUCAUCCGGGGUUCUCCCCGGUGCACUCGCUCACGCUCAGGCCAGCAUCGGUUUUAGUGGUUGGAUAAAGGCCCUAGGAAUGUAGCUUCUCUCGGGGAGUGUUAUAGCCUAGGGUGCAAUGCAGCCUACCGGGACCGAGGACCGCGCUUCGGCUAGGAUGCUGGCGUAAUGGUUGUAAGCGACC
rnacentral:rRNA from 1 species